GACGAACGCUGGCGGCGUGCUUAACACAUGCAAGUCGAACGAUGAAGCCGGAGCUUGCUCUGGUGAAUUAGUGGCGAACGGGUGAGUAACACGUGAGUAACCUGCCCUUGACUCUGGGAUAACUGCUAGAAAUGGCAGCUAAUACCGGAUACGACCCUCGGAGGCAUCCCCAGGGGGUGGAAAGAAUUUCGGUCAAGGAUGGACUCGCGGCCUAUCAGCUAGGUGGUGAGGGAACGGCUCACCAAGGCGACGACGGGUAGCCGGCCUGAGAGGGUGACCGGCCACACUGGGACUGAGACACGGCCCAGACUCCUACGGGAGGCAGCAGUGGGGAAUAUUGCACAAUGGGCGCAAGCCUGAUGCAGCGACGCCGCGUGAGGGAUGACGGCCUUCGGGUUGUAAACCUCUUUUAGUAGGGAAGAAGCGAAAGUGACGGUACCUGCAGAAAAAGCACCGGCUAACUACGUGCCAGCAGCCGCCGUAA
rnacentral:rRNA from 1 species